rnacentral:rRNA from 1 species
CACGUAGGGUGCGAGCGUUGUCCGGAAUUAUUGGGCGUAAAGAGCUCGUAGGCGGUGUGUCGCGUCGGCCGUGAAAACCUGCAGCUUAACUGUGGGCGUGCGGGCGAUACGGGCAGACUGGAGUACUGCAGGGGAGACUGAAAUUCCUGGUGUAGCGGUGGAAUGCGCAGAUAUCAGGAGGAACACCGGUGGCGAAGGCGGGUCUCUGGGCAGUAACUGACGCUGAGGAGCGAAAGCGUGGGGAGCAAACAGG